UCCGUCCGGCGGCAGCCAUCAGCUCAAAGGUAGGCCAAGAUGGGUGCUUACCAGUACAUCCAGGAGCUAUGGAGGAAGAAGCAGUCCGAUGUAAUGCGCUUUCUUCUCAGGGUGCGCUGUUGACAGUAUCGCCAGCUGUCUGCGCUCCACAGGGCUCCCCGCCCAACCCGGCCCGAUAAAGCGCGCAGGCUGGGGUACAAGGCCAAGCAAGGUUAUGUCAUAUAUCGGAUUCGUGUGCGUCGUGGCGGUCGCAAACGCCCAGUUCCUAAGGGUGCUACCUACGGCAAGCCUGUCCAUCAUGGUGUUAACCAGCUAAAGUUUGCCCGAAGCCUUCAGUCUGUUGCAGAGGAGCGAGCUGGGCGCCACUGUGGGGCUCUGAGAGUCUUGAAUUCUUACUGGGUUGGUGAAGAUUCCACGUACAAAUUCUUUGAGGUCAUCCUCAUUGAUCCAUUCCAUAAAGCUCUCAGAAGAAAUCCUGACACCCAGUGGAUCACCAAACCAGUCCACAAGCACAGGGAAAUGCGAGGGCUUACAUCUGCAGGCCUCAAGAGCCGUGGCCUUGGAAAGGGUCACAAGUUCCACCACACUAUUGGUGGUUCUCGCCGUGCGGCAUGGAGAAGACGCAAUACUCUCCAGCUCCACCGUUACCGCUAAUAUAAGUAAUGUUUGUAAAAAUUUUACCUAACAAACAAUUUAGGACAGUCAAAAA